CUUAUACUCCCUCCGUCCCAAAAUUCUUGUCUUAGAUUAGUCUAGAUACGGAUGUAUCUAAUACCAAAACAUGACUUGAUACAUCCGUAUUUAGACAAAUCUAAGACAAGAAUUUUGGGACGGGGGGAGUAUUUC
rnacentral:pre_miRNA from 1 species